rnacentral:rRNA from 1 species
AUACGGAGGGUGCAAGCGUUAAUCGGAAUUACUGGGCGUAAAGCGUGCGCAGGCGGUUUGUUAAGUCAGAUGUGAAAGCCCCGGGCUCAACCUGGGAACUGCAUUUGAAACUGGCAAACUAGAGUGUGGUAGAGGGAAGUGGAAUUCCUCAUGUAGCGGUGAAAUGCGUAGAUAUGAGGAGGAACACCAGUGGCGAAGGCGACUUCCUGGACCAACACUGACGCUCAUGUACGAAAGCGUGGGUAGCAAACAGGAUUAGAAACCCUAGUAGUCC